GAUGCCCAAUCAGUGGCGUUUGCGCAUGUUCGUUCAUUUACCCAUUUAGCCGCGGCUUUCUUCGAGCGUGGGGGGACGGAGUGUGGCAGUGCCUUUUGGUUUUUGCCAGUGCUGCCUUUGUUUAUACUAAUUUUUGGUGGAGCUGUUGUUUCCUUGGAGUAAAAAUGUCGAGGAGAGACGAAGACGAUGAUAGUGUGGAUGCUGAAGAGGAAAUCGAAGAAGAAGAAGAAGAGCAGGAGGAAGAAGAAGUUGUAGAGAAGCAGCCAAGCAAGAGAGGACGUAAAAGAAAACAAAAAGAUGGAAAUGACAGGAAGAAGAGGUCCAAGAAAAA